rnacentral:ncRNA from 1 species
CGGCUCUCUGGAGAGCAGGCCCGGGCAGGACGCAGCUUCACCGCUGCCGCCGCCCGCACGGCCUCGCCGAAGGAAACAAGGUGGCCCCGCCACCCCAAUCUCUCAGGCAAACGGACAGAGGGGGC